GAUGAACGCUGGCGGCGUGCCUAAUACAUGCAAGUCGAGCGAACAGACGAGGAGCUUGCUCCUCUGACGUUAGCGGCGGACGGGUGAGUAACACGUGGAUAACCUACCUAUAAGACUGGGAUAACUUCGGGAGACCGGAGCUAAUACCGGAUAAUAUAUUGAACCGCAUGGUUCAAUAGUGAAAGACGGUUUUGCUGUCACUUAUAGAUGGAUCCGCGCCGCAUUAGCUAGUUGGUAAGGUAACGGCUUACCAAGGCAACGAUGCGUAGCCGACCUGAGAGGGUGAUCGGCCACACUGGAACUGAGACACGGUCCAGACUCCUACGGGAGGCAGCAGUAGGGAAUCUUCCGCAAUGGGCGAAAGCCUGACGGAGCAACGCCGCGUGAGUGAUGAAGGUCUUCGGAUCGUAAAACUCUGUUAUUAGGGAAGAACAAAUGUGUAAGUAACUAUGCACGUCUUGACGGCACCUAAUCAGAAAGCCACGGCUAACUACGUG
rnacentral:rRNA from 1 species